CCCUUAGAUGUUCUGGACCGCACGCGCGCUACACUGAUGCAUUCAACAAGCCUAGCCUUGACCGAGAGGUCCGGGUAAUCUUUGAAACUGCAUCGUGAUGGGGCUAGAUUAUUGCAAUUAUUAAUCUUCAACGAGGAAUGCCUAGUAAGCGUGAUUCAUCAAAUCGCGUUGAUUACGUCCCUGCCCUUUGUACACACCGCCCGUCGCUCCUACCGAUUGAAUGUGUUGGUGAGGAGCUCGGAUUGGCAGCAGUUGGUGGUUCGCCACCGGCUAUUGCUGAGAAGUCCUCCAAACCGCCCCAUUUAGAGGAAGGAGAAGUCGUAACA
rnacentral:rRNA from 1 species